rnacentral:rRNA from 1 species
UACGUAGGGGGCGAGCGUUGUCCGGAAUCACUGGGCUUAAAGGGCGCGUAGGCGGGUACUCAAGUCUGUGGUGAAAUCCUCCGGCUCAACCGGAGAACUGCCAUGGAUACUGGCGGUCUUGAGCCAUCUAGGGGUUGCUGGAACAAACGGUGGAGCGGUGAAAUGCGUAGAUAUCGUUUGGAACGCCAAUGGUGAAAACAGGCAACUGGGGAUGUGCUGACGCUGAGACACGAAAGCCAGGGGAGCAAACGGG